AGAGAGAGACAUGCGCGCAUAUCAAUAAGCGGAGGAAAAGAAACUAACAAGGAUUCCCCUAGUAACGGCGAGUGAAGCGGGAAGAGCUCAAAUUUGAAAUCUUAAAGGGUUUCCCUUUACGAAUUGUAGUUUAAAGAAGUGUUUUCUGUUGAGGUUUUGGUAAAAGUUCUUUGGAAUAGGACAUCAUAGAGGGUGAGAAUCCCGUAUUUGACCUUUACUUUCAACUUUGUGAUACACUUUCAAAGAGUCGGAUUGUUUGGGAAUGCAGUCCAAAAUGGGUGGUAAAUUUCAUCUAAAGCUAAAUAUUGGCGAGAGACCGAUAGCGAACAAGUACCGUGAGGGAAAGAUGAAAAGAACUUUGAAAAGAGAGUUAAACAGUACGUGAAAUUGUCAAAAGGGAAGCGUUUGACACCAGUGUUGUUUUUCUGAAAAUCAAUUAAAGAACUGUUUAUGCUAAGUUGUUUAGACUUUAUCAGCUAACUGUUUAGUUUUGAGCUUUUCUUUAAUGCACUUUUCAGUUAACUAAGUCAACAUCAAUUUCUUUUGCUGUAAAAAAGCUUGAGGAAGGUGGCUUGAGAUUCGUCUUAAGUGUUUAUAGCCUCUUGCCUAUGCAGUCGGAGAGAUUGAGGUCUGCAGCGUAGAUCCUUCGGGGCUAAAUGCAUUUGUGCUAAGUUAUAGCAUUUUAUAGACAACUUGUUGACUAUGAUUUGUCUUGUAGCUUACUCGCUUAUGUUAUUUUACCUACGCUUAGGAUGUUGAGCGCAUGUCUCUCUCU
rnacentral:rRNA from 1 species